rnacentral:tRNA from 1 species
GCGGGCGUGGCGGAAUUGGCAGACGCGCUGGAUUUAGGUUCCAGUUUCUUUACGGAAGUGUGGGUUCAAGUCCCUCCGCCCGCACCA